rnacentral:rRNA from 1 species
GAUGAACGCUGGCGGCGUGCCUAAUACAUGCAAGUCGAACGCUUCACUUCGGUGAAGAGUGGCGAACGGGUGAGUAAUACAUAAGUAACCUGGCAUCUACAGGGGGAUAACUGAUGGAAACGUCAGCUAAGACCGCAUAGGUGUAGAGAUCGCAUGAACUCUAUAUGAAAAGUGCUACGGGACUGGUAGAUGAUGGACUUAUGGCGCAUUAGCUAGUUGGUAGGGUAACGGCCUACCAAGGCGACGAUGCGUAGCCGACCUGAGAGGGUGACCGGCCACACUGGGACUGAGACACGGCCCAGACUCCUACGGGAGGCAGCAGUAGGGAAUUUUCGGCAAUGGGGGAAACCCUGACCGAGCAACGCCGCGUGAAGGAAGAAGUAAUUCGUUAUGUAAACUUCUGUCAUAGAGGAAGAACGGUGGAUAUAGGGAAUGAUAUCCAA